GAUGAACGCUGGCGGCGUGCCUAAUACAUGCAAGUCGAGCGAACAGACGAGGAGCUUGCUCCUCUGAAGUUAGCGGCGGACGGGUGAGUAACACGUGGAUAACCUACCUAUAAGACUGGGAUAACUUCGGGAAACCGGAGCUAAUACCGGAUAACAUGUUGAACCGCAUGGUUCAACAGUGAAAGAUGGUCUUGCUGUCACUUAUAGAUGGAUCCGCGCCGCAUUAGCUAGUUGGUAAGGUAACGGCUUACCAAGGCAACGAUGCGUAGCCGACCUGAGAGGGUGAUCGGCCACACUGGAACUGAGACACGGUCCAGACUCCUACGGGAGGCAGCAGUAGGGAAUCUUCCGCAAUGGGCAAAAGCCUGACGGAGCAACGCCGCGUGAGUGAAGAAGGUCUUCGGAUCGUAAAACUCUGUUAUUAGGGAAGAACAAAUGUGUAAGUAACUAUGCACGUCUUGACGGUACCUAAUCAGAAAGCCACGGCUAACUACGUGCCAGCAGCCGCGGUAAUACGUAGGUGGCAAGCGUUAUCCGGAAUUAUUGGGCGUAAAGCGCGCGUAGGCGGUUUUUUAAGUCUGAUGUGAAAGCCCACGGCUCAACCGUGGAGGGUCAUUAGAAACUGGAAAACUUGAGUGCAGAAGAGGAAAGUGGAAUUCCAUGUGUAGCGGUGAAAUGCGCAGAGAUAUGGAGGAACACCAGUGGCGAAGGCGACUUUCUGGUCUGUAACUGACGCUGAUGUGCGAAAGCGUGGGGAUCGAACAGGAUUAGAUACCCUGGUAGUCCACGCCGUAAACGAUGAGUGCUAAGUGUUAGGGGGUUUCCGCCCCUUAGUGCUGCAGCUAACGCAUUAAGCACUCCGCCUGGGGAGUACGACCGCAAGGUUGAAACUCAAAGGAAUUGACGGGGACCCGCACAAGCGGUGGAGCAUGUGGUUUAAUUCGAAGCAACGCGAAGAACCUUACCAAAUCUUGACAUCCUCUGACCCCUCUAGAGAUAGAGUUUUCCCCUUCGGGGGACAGAGUGACAGGUGGUGCAUGGUUGUCGUCAGCUCGUGUCGUGAGAUGUUGGGUUAAGUCCCGCAACGAGCGCAACCCUUAAGCUUAGUUGCCAUCAUUAAGUUGGGCACUCUAAGUUGACUGCCGGUGACAAACCGGAGGAAGGUGGGGAUGACGUCAAAUCAUCAUGCCCCUUAUGAUUUGGGCUACACACGUGCUACAAUGGACAAUACAAAGGGUAGCGAAACCGCGAGGUCAAGCAAAUCCCAUAAAGUUGUUCUCAGUUCGGAUUGUAGUCUGCAACUCGACUACAUAAAGCUGGAAUCGCUAGUAAUCGUAGAUCAGCAUGCUACGGUGAAUACGUUCCCGGGUCUUGUACACACCGCCCGUCACACCAUGGGAGUCUGCAAUGCCCAAAGCCGGUGGCCUAACCUUCGGGAAGGAGCCGUCUAAGGCAGGGCAGAUGACUGGGGUGAAGUCGUAACAAGGUAGCCGUAGGAGAACC
rnacentral:rRNA from 1 species